rnacentral:rRNA from 1 species
UACGUAUUUUGCGAGCGUUAAUCGGAAUUACUGGGCGUAAAGCGUGCGUAGGCGGUGUCUUAAGUUUGUUGUGAAAUCUCCCGGCUUAACUGGGAGGGUGCGGUGGAAACUGGGGUGCUUGAGUGUGGGAGAGGUAAGCGGAAUUCCUGGUGUAGCGGUGAAAUGCGUAGAUAUCAGGAGGAACACCGGUGGUGUAGACGGCUUACUGGACCACGACUGACACUGAGGCACGAAAGCGUGGGUAGCAAACAGG